rnacentral:misc_RNA from 1 species
GGAAAGUUCUUACCCAAUAAAGAAUUUCAUAUCCCAAAAUAUUAUUUUACAAUCACUUUAUUAGUCGUGAAAAAACUUCGCCUACUCGUCUCUUUCUUUUUUCUACCUACCUCCCGAGGGUUUUAGCCCUUUGAAUCUAUCGUUUUUAGGCAACUCACCCUUCCCCCUCCGGGUAAGGGAGGGUUGCCCUCCUUAGUGGUUGUGUGUGUUUUCCCUCACUAUAUCUAGUGGGGUGUAUAUAUUUGUUUUUAGGUUGGUUGGUUCUUAACAAGCAGUGCUUAGUGUGAGGUUUUAGUAUUGGCCUAUUUUAAUCCUUGUAUUUUUCUAUUAUUGUUGCUGAUAUGCAUGAGGCAUUUGAUGGCAGAUGUAGUGGUUGUUGAGUGAUUUUUGUUGGAUCUGCUUAUCAUUGUGGUUGCAUGCAGGUGAAUUGCCAUAGUUGUGGUCUUUGAUUGAAUCUUUUGCUCAAUAAAAAACUCUGUUUUAGCCACAACAAUGUGAGGAUUCUGUGGGAUUAGUGGCAGCUCGUAGGGUGGCUUAUGGUUUCCUGCUCGGAAGGUACAAGUGAGAUGCCAAAGAGUGAUGUCUCCUUCUCCUUCCUCACUGUUGGUGUUGCGCGCUUUGUUUCUGGAGUUUCCUUGGCCCUCAUAGUUCUAUGAUCUUCUCAUUUCCCCUGUUUAGUGCCAAUUUCUGCUCAACUCAUAGGUUGUUAGGGCCUUUGUUGUCAUGCAUUUCGCCGAGUGUGGCUUGGAAUUGUGCGUCAGUUUGCUCAAAUCUCCCAUCGGUGAAAGUUGAAAGUUGCGGUGUUCCUCUGUUCCUUGUAUGAUGCGGCACUAUGGUUUGAGAGGAUGCCGGGUUUUGGGUUAACUUGCCUUAGCUAAGUUUUUUUACAAGUGGGGCCUCGGCCUUGUUGAGUGUGCUACGGUUUCUGGUUAGUUAGGCUUUUUUUUAGGCCUGGGAGCCUUUUAUGUAAUGGUUUCUCUGCAUUUAGCUUUCAAGACUACUUGUCAAUGAACAUCCCUGCAUUUUUUUAUCAAAAGGGACCUGCAUGCCGAUUAAUGUCCCUUUUAAUAUUAAUUAAGCAUGUGCAUAGAAAU